rnacentral:rRNA from 1 species
UCCGGGGGGGGCAAGCGUUGUUCGGAAUUACUGGGCGUAAAGGGCGCGUAGGCGGUUCGCUAAGUUGAAUGUGAAAACUCUGGGCUUAACCCAGAGCCUGCAUCCAAAACUGGCGAACUGGAGUACUGGAGGGGAAAGCGGAAUUCCUGGUGUAGCGGUGAAAUGCGUAGAUAUCAGGAGGAACACCGGUGGCGAAGGCGGCUUUCUGGACAGUAACUGACGCUGAGGCGCGAAAGCGUGGGGAGCAAACAGG